rnacentral:rRNA from 1 species
CCUUUACUAUAGCUUCGCCUUGGCGUUAGCGACCGUAUGUGUAGGAUAGGUGGGAGGCUAUGAAACCGGGGGCGCCAGCUCUGGUGGAGCCAUCCUUGAAAUACCACCCUUACUGUCGUUGACGUCUAACCGAGGGCCGUUAUCCGGUCCCGGGACAUGGCGUGGUGGGUAGUUUGACUGGGGCGGUCGCCUCCUAAAGUGUAACGGAGGCGCGCGAUGGUGGGCUCAGACCGGUCGGAAAUCGGUCGUCGAGUGCAAUGGCAUAAGCCCGCCUGACUGCGAGACUGACAAGUCGAGCAGAGACGAAAGUCGGCCAUAGUGAUCCGGUGGUCCCGCGUGGAAGGGCCAUCGCUCAACGGAUAAAAAGGUA